CCAUUUAUUUAGCAUGCUGUUUAGCCUUUGCCUAAACAUCGUAGCUCUAUUCGUCGUCUGACUUGAGCAGUUGACGUGACGCACGUGGACUGACACUAUAUUCAACAUGAGACCAUUAACUGACGAAGAAACCAAAAUCUUUUUCGAAAAGCUCACGAAAUAUAUCGGCGAAAAUGUAAGGUUAUUGAUUGAUAGACCUGACGGGGCCUAUUGUUUUCGACUUCAUCGAGACAGAGUAUUUUAUAUCUCUGAGAAGCUUCUCAAGCAUGCGGUUUCAAUUGACCGUGAUAAUCUUGUAAGCAUCGGGACAUGCUUUGGCAAGUUUACAAAGACCAGGAAGUUCCGUCUCCAUAUCACUGCAUUAGAUUAUUUGGCACCAUAUGCUCAGUACAAAAUUUGGCUUAAACCAACAGCUGAGCAGCAAUUUGUUUAUGGAAACCAUAUCAUGAAAUCUGGACUUGGUAGGAUUUCUGAGAGCACUGCAAAAUAUCAGGGAGUUGUAGUAUAUAACAUGGCAGAUAUUCCUUUGGGCUUUGGAGUUGCGGCAAAGGCAACGUCAGAAUGCAGACAUGCUGAGCCAAUGGCUAUCGUAUGCUUUCAUCAAGCCGAUGUGGGAGAAUACAUCCGAGCUGAAGACACGCUUGUGGGUUAAACUCUGUACACUAACAGGGUUUAGGUAAUGGCGCCGCGGGACGUAGCUUGGACAUUUGCAUUUCCAACCACUGUUGGUGGGCUAUCCUCCCCCGGUGAACCUACUCCUCCUUGGGCCAAAGAAGUGAAAAUGUCGGAUUGGUUACCGCAGAAGCUUUCCGUGUCCGAAUGGAAGUCCGCUCGUACUCGAUCAAGUGCUGGUUGGGCGUAAGUUUUUUAAAGAUCAGCUGUUAUCAAACGUAUUUAAAAGGAGCAGAUUAGCAUUUGCAUAAUACCCCGCCUGAGAUCCAUCACAUCCAAUUCGGAAUUUCGAAUACGCUUGAGUUCUUGCUUGAAGCGUUUGGAAAGCUGCUUACGUCGGAAGUCCGCCUCAAUCUCUUGUUUAGUUCGUGGAAUACGUAUGCGUACGCAGCAGCACAAAAUGAUUACUGUAACAGUGCAAACAAAUAAGUCAUAAAUCGCCAAACUUUCUC
rnacentral:misc_RNA from 1 species